AGCGAACGCUGGCGGCAGGCCUAACACAUGCAAGUCGAACGAACCUUUCGGGGUUAGUGGCGGACGGGUGAGUAACACGUGGGAACGUGCCUUUAGGUUCGGAAUAACUCAGGGAAACUUGUGCUAAUACCGAAUGUGCCCUUCGGGGGAAAGAUUAAUCGCCUUUAGAGCGGCCCGCGUCUGAUUAGCUAGUUGGUUGAGGUAAUGGCUCACCAAGGCGACGAUCAGUAGCUGGUCUGAGAGGAUGAUCAGCCACAUUGGGACUGAGACACGGCCCAAACUCCUACGGGAAGCAGUAGUGGGGAAUCUUGCGCAAUGGGCGAAAGCCUGACGCAGCCAUGCCGCGUGAAUGAUGAAGGUCUUAGGAUUGUAAAAUUCUUUCACCGGGGACGAUAAUGACGGUACCCGGAGAAGAAGCCCCGGCUAACUUCGUG
rnacentral:rRNA from 1 species